AGCAUCAUAAAGUGCUCAUGUUAGCUGUGUUCCUGGAGGAGUUAUGCUUUUGGAAGUCAGUUGAAAUUUGAUGGGAGUGGAGAUCUGAGAAGCAGUUGUUGGUAUGGACCAAACAUGUGCACAUGUUGUCAUGUUUUAAUAUAAGAAAUUCUCCUUUCUGUCCAGCAUCCGAAGAGAGCACAUUUCAUAGCGAUUGCUCUGGCAAGUCAAAGUUGCAGCCUUUCUCAUGACAGCUUUCCCUCUACUACAACAAACUCAUCCUCUUUGGAGACAAGAAUUUGCUGCCCCAGCUUCUUUUCAUUGUCUGCUGGCUCUUGUUCUGCCAUUAAUGCUAAAAGCUCCACUUGAUUCUGAGAAGAAACAGAGAGGUACUGAAAGGAAACACUAGUGAGAGUAAAGGUUGCAUGAAGUUCUGCAGCACACAGUGCUGACACCUUCAAAAUGUAGCAAGACAAGCCAACUCUUGCUACAGUUCCUUUGUCCAUGGAAGUUAAAUAUUGGGUAUAUCUGGAUCUGUUAACAUAAAGCUGAACUUUGGACCUUCAAUUUCUCCAGGAGCUGUGGAGAGGUGUGCAAAUAUGGUAAGGAUGUAUUAAAUCUUAGAUAACACAGACCUGCACAGGUCUGAGUUUGCAGCCACACAACUAGACAACAUAUUCUUGUAGCCAGAAUAACAACCAAAAUUAAAUAUGAAGGUGGCAUCACAUGGCAAUGAGAUCAUUAACAACACUUCUGUUAAGAUCAGAGAUAUGUAUG
rnacentral:lncRNA from 1 species